GAUGAACGCUAGCGGCAGGCCUAACACAUGCAAGUCGAACGGUAACAUGAGAGCUUGCUCUCGAUGACGAGUGGCGCACGGGUGCGUAACACGUAUGCAACCUACCUCUAUCAGGGGGAUAGCCCGAAGAAAUUCGGAUUAAUACCCCAUAAUAAUGAAAAUUCGCAUGUUUUUUCAUUUAAAGCUCCGGCGGAUAGAGAUGGGCAUGCGUCCUAUUAGUUAGUUGGUGAGGUAACGGCUCACCAAGACUCCGAUAGGUAGGGGUUCUGAGAGGAAGAUCCCCCACACUGGUACUGAGACACGGACCAGACUCCUACGGGAGGCAGCAGUGAGGAAUAUUGGACAAUGGACGAAAGUCUGAUCCAGCCAUGCCGCGUGCAGGAAGAAUGCCCUCUGGGUUGUAAACUGCUUUUAUAAGGGAAUAAACCCCAUUACGUGUAGUGGGCUGAAUGUACCUUAUGAAUAAGCACCGGCUAACUCCGUGCCAGCCGCCGCCGUAACAC
rnacentral:rRNA from 1 species